rnacentral:lncRNA from 12 species
UAAUUUGUGCUUUCAUUUUAGCUAUCCUGGAGAAAUGGAUUGGAGCACUUCACUCUACAGGAGUGAGCCAGCAUGAGAUGAGAACGUCUGUGUGUUGUCCGGAUGGUGUGCUUUGAUGUUUGCCAGAUGCUUGGAAAUCCUCACUCCUGGUCAGUUCCGAGCAAGAUGCAAGUUGAAAGGUUAAGCACGUGGUGUAUGUUACAAGUAAAUGUUCCAGAAGCAUUGUUAGCUGCAAGACCCAUUCAGCCCUUCCAGGUAAAUAUUUCAUAAACCAAUAACAUGAAAAGUAUGCAGCGGCUUCAAAGUUUUUAAAAACUAAAAUUUUUGGAUCUCAGCAUCCUAUGGGAAAUUAAAAAUUGUGAUAUUUUUAUUAUCCAGCUUAAAGUUUUUAACACCUAUGGAUCUCUUUU